UUGAAACAACGGUUCCCGUACGAUCACCAAAGUUAAACGACAUCGACGUUGGUCAGUAAUUAGGUGGGUAACCGCCUGAGAAUACCAGGGGCUGUAA